rnacentral:rRNA from 1 species
CCUACGGGAGGCAGCAGUGGGGAAUAUUGGGCAAUGGGCGCAAGCCUGACCCAGCAACGCCGCGUGAAGGAAGAAGGCUUUCGGGUUGUAAACUUCUUUUCUCAGGGACGAAGAAAGUGACGGUACCUGAGGGAUAAGCCACGGCUAACUACGUGCCAGCAGCCGCGGUAAUACGUAGGUGGCAAGCGUUAUCCGGAUUUAUUGGGUGUAAAGGGCGUGUAGGCGGGAGCGCAAGUCAGAUGUGAAAACUCAGGGCUCAACCCUGAGCCUGCAUUUGAAACUGUGUUUCUUGAGUGCUGGAGAGGCAAUCGGAAUUCCGUGUGUAGUGGUGAAAUGCGUAGAUAUACGGAGGAACACCAGUGGCGAAGGCGGAUUGCUGGACAGUAACUGACGCUGAGGCGCGAAAGCGUGGGGAGCAAACAGGAUUAGAUACCCGAGUAGUC